AGUAGCAUAUCAAUAAGCGGAGGAAAAGAAACUAACAAGGAUUCCCCUAGUAACUGCGAGUGAAGCGGGAAAAGCUCAAAUUUAAAAUCUGGCAGUCUUUGGCUGUCCGAGUUGUAAUCUGGAGAAGUGCUUUCCGCGCUGGACCGUGUACAAGUCUCUUGGAAUAGAGCGUCAUAGAGGGUGAGAAUCCCGUCUUUGACACGGACUACCAGUGCUUUGUGAUGCGCUUUCAAAGAGUCGAGUUGUUUGGGAAUGCAGCUCAAAAUGGGUGGUAAAUUCCAUCUAAAGCUAAAUAUUGGCGAGAGACCGAUAGCGAACAAGUACCGUGAGGGAAAGAUGAAAAGCACUUUGGAAAGAGAGUUAAACAGUACGUGAAAUUGCUGAAAGGGAAACGCUUGAAGUCAGUCGCGUUGUUCAGAACUCAGCCUGGCUUUGGCUUGGUGCAUUUUCUGAAUAACGGGCCAGCAUCAAUUUUGACUGUUGGAUAAAGGCCAGGGAAAUGUGGCUCCCUUGGGAGUGUUAUAGUCCUUGGUUGCAUACAAUGGUUGGGAUUGAGGAACUCAGCAUGCCUUUAUGGUCGGGGUUCGCCCACGUUCAUGCUUAGGAUGCUGGCGUAAUGGCUUUAAACGACCCGUCUUGAAACACGGACCAAGGAGUCUAACAUGCCUGCGAGUGUUUGGGUGGAAAACCCGAGCGCGCAAUGAAAGUGAAAGUUGGGAUCUCUGUCGUGGAGAGCACCAAUGCCCGGACCAGACCUUCUGUGACGGUUCCGCGGUAGAGCAUGUAUGUUGGGACCCGAAAGAUGGUGAACUAUGCCUGAAUAGGGUGAAGCCAGAGGAAACUCUGGUGGAGGCUCGUAGCGAUUCUGACGUGCAAAUCGAUCGUCAAAUUUGGGUAUAGGGGCGAAAGACUAAUCGAACCAUCUAGUAGCUGGUUCCUGCGAGCUUCUUUCUCCACGUAGAAUAAAA
rnacentral:rRNA from 1 species